UUAACUAAAAUUUGUACGGAGUUGGUACGUUUGCCGCUAGGGGCGCUGUUCCAUAUGCAUACAAAUAUGAGUUA
rnacentral:pre_miRNA from 1 species